rnacentral:tRNA from 1 species
GACCGUAGCUCAGUGGUAGAACAUCUGCUUGGCAUUCAGAAAGUCCCAGGUUCAGUCCCUGGCAUAUCCA